CCCUUAGAUGUUCGGGGCCGCACGCGCGCUACACUGAAAGAAUCAGCUGGUAAGUUGCUCCUGGCUUGGAAACGUCGGGCAACCCGUUGAACCUCCUUCGUGCUUGGGAUUGGGGCUUGCAAUUAUUCCCCAUGAACGAGGAAUUCCCAGUAGGCGCGAGUCAUCAGCUCGCGUCGAUUACGUCCCUGCCCUUUGUACACACCGCCCGUCGCUCCUACCGAUUGGGUGUGCUGGUGAAAUGUUCGGAUCGGCCGUUUGUCGCGGUUUCCGCGUCAUGUGGCUGAGAAGUUCAUUAAACCCUCCCACCUAGAGGAAGGAGAAGUCGUAACA
rnacentral:rRNA from 1 species